rnacentral:rRNA from 1 species
CCAAGGAGUCUAACAUGUGCGCGAGUCGCUCGGUCUUGAAUAGGCCAGAGAGGCGCAAUGAAAGUAAAGUUGAUUGAGAUACGAUCCUCAUGCGGUUAUCCUUGCGGUAACGGUGAGGCGCAGUAUCGGCCCGCAAAUUUCGCUUAUUGACGAUCUUGCGGAGUCGUAGCGUACACGUUGGUACCCGAAAGAUGGUGAACUAUGCCUGGGCAAGACGAAGCCAGAGGAAACUCUGGUGGAGGUCUGUAGCGAUUCUGACGUGCAAAUCGAUCGUCAGACCUGGGUAUAGGGGCGAAAGACUAAUCGAACCAUC